AUUGAACGCUGGCGGCAUGCCUUACACAUGCAAGUCGAACGGCAGCACGGGGGCAACCCUGGUGGCGUGUGGCGAACGGGUGAGUAAUGCAUCGGAACGUGCCCAGUAGUGGGGGAUAACCCGGCGAAAGCCGGGCUAAUACCGCAUACGACCUACGGGUGAAAGCGGGGGACCGUAAGGCCUCGCGCUAUUGGAGCGGCCGAUGUCUGAUUAGCUAGUUGGCGGGGUAAAGGCCCACCAAGGCGACGAUCAGUAGCUGGUCUGAGAGGACGACCAGCCACACUGGGACAGAGACACGGCCCAGACUCCUACGGGAGGCAGCAGUGGGGAAUUUUGGACAAUGGGCGCAAGCCUGAUCCAGCCAUGCCGCGUGCGGGAAGAAGGCCUUCGGGUUGUAAACCGCUUUUGGCAGGAACGAAACGGCGCAAGCUAAUACCUUGCGCUAAUGACGGUACCUGCAGAAUAAGCACCGGCUAACUACGUGCCAGCCGCCGCGGUAACAC
rnacentral:rRNA from 1 species